GCACCCGUCGUUCAACGGAUAGGACACGGGAUUGCGGAUCCCGCAAUGCAGGUUCGAUUCCUACCGGGUGCA
rnacentral:tRNA from 1 species